rnacentral:rRNA from 1 species
GACGAACGCUGGCGGCGUGCUUAACACAUGCAAGUCGAGCGGAAAGGCCCUGCUUUUGUGGGGUGCUCGAGUGGCGAACGGGUGAGUAACACGUGAGUAACCUGCCCUUGACUUUGGGAUAACUUCAGGAAACUGGGGCUAAUACCGGAUAGGAGCUCCUGCUGCAUGGUGGGGGUUGGAAAGUUUCGGCGGUUGGGGAUGGACUCGCGGCUUAUCAGCUUGUUGGUGGGGUAGUGGCUUACCAAGGCUUUGACGGGUAGCCGGCCUGAGAGGGUGACCGGCAACAUUGGGACUGAGAUACGGCCCAGACUCCUACGGGAGGCAGCAGUGGGGAAUAUUGCAAAAUGGGCGGAAGCCUGAUGCAGCAACGCCGCGUGCGGGAUGACGGCCUUCGGGUUGUAAACCGCUUUCGCCUGUGACGAAGCGUGAGUGACGGUAAUGGGUAAAGAAGCACCGGCUAACUACGUG